CCCUGUGUCUCUACAUAUACCUCUGGAGCUUUGUUUUUUGGUUUGGUUUUUUUUUUUUUUGGUUGUUGUUGUUGUUUUGUUUUGUUUUUCCAUUUUUAUCUUCUAAACAGAUACUGAAAUACGGAGGAGAAAGAACAAGAGGUAGUUGUGCUUAGGUGAAAUGGAGAAGGAUGAAGCUUGCUCUUACUCUUGACCAGAUUACAACACCGCUAAGCACUGGACAACACCAUGAUAAUUUCCACUGGUUUCCAUGGAAUAUUGUCAGGUAGGUGUUCCCUGGUGAAACAAGGGAUCUAAAAUCUGGCACCCGUCACCCAUUCAAGCUUUGGUAGACACAAAGUUUUAGACAACUGCUUGAAAUUCAGGGGAUUCACUGAACCUCCAAACCUUUUAAAACGAUGGCUAUUAACAGUGAGAAGAGCACAGUUUGGUGCCUUACUCUCCUCCCUGAAGCAAACUCAAUAGCAGAAGCAUUUAUUACCAAAGCUCCCAGGACAGUGCUGUAACUGGGCUUGCUAUGGCUUGGUGGCCUGGUUGAGGAUCCAUGAGAUCAUACGUACCUUCUAGCACCUAAUGAGAGUCAAGUGGUCUAUGUUGAGCAUCUGGGCUGCCUCUGCAUCCCUGGAGAAAGAGAGACAUCCCUGGGGACCCCAAGGGUCUUCUAUUGAUGGCUGAGAGACCAGAGAAGGAGCAUAGCUCAUUACCUUAGAUGGGAUCUCUCAUUUUUUACAAGCCACUUGAAGGCUUGUUCUAAAGAGGUCGGCUCUUAAUUGGGAGCCGUGGUUGACAAAUCAUCGUGUGUGGCUGACCCAGCAAAGCUAAUAUCUGUCCAAACCUGUACUUUUCAUGAAGGUUUUUCCAUUGCUGUGGGAAGAAGACUCGCUGGGAAACUGCUUUGCUUUCUCCCAUGUGUAGCUGGAGGUGGAUGAAGGCUGGGAAGUCUUUGCCUCUGUAUCCAGACUGAGAAGCCCAUGAGUGCAGCCGAGCAAGGGAUGAAGGUAGCAUCUGGUCCUCUUCCCCUUGUCCAGGAGAAAACUUCGGCACCAGCCUAGCUCUCUAUUUUAGCUUCUGGACUGGAAGGACCCGAUUUGUUACCUCUCGUAUCCUUUGCAUUACUGCAACUGCUGAGAAAGGCUCAACCAUAGGUCUGCUGCUGGCUACACAGGGUUCUCCUUUGCAUGUCACCACCAGAAGCCAUAGAAGCUGUCACCUGAAAAGAAGACGCUGAAGGACACAUAAACCACUCUGCAAUAUCAUCCCAGGAAGACUAAAGGAACUAAAGAAGCCAGAAAUCAGGUAUAUAAAAUUCUUCCUUUUUUUUUUUUUAUAAUUAUUUGGAGAAGAAUAAGCUUCUAGAUAAAAUACUCUAGCUUUUGAUGAGGAUAUCAUACUUUAAAAAUGAAGAAUAAUAGGAAAAUCCCUUCCUUGGAAAGUUCUAAAAAGCAGGGAAUAAAAAGAAAUUCCUGAUCUAUUUUUUAUGGAAGAUUUCCCCCCAUUCAGCAUCUGAACAGAUGUUUUAAAUUACAUGAUAUGACUUUGAAAGUCUGGUAAUUUCUGCUGGGAGUUUACUAGUUCCUAGGUUUUCUGUCAAGAAGAGCUGUCUCGUCUCCCUGGAGUUCCUCUGACAGGGCUGUAAGUUUGCAAGAAAGGACUUUAGCUGCUCAAGUUUUUCUGCUCCAUCAGAUGAUUUCACAUUAUAUCAGGGCAACAGUGGCUGCAUUGUGGAGCCCUUGGUUCUUCUCCUGUUGUUGCUGUGCAGGCUGGUCCCCAGUUCAAGUUUAACUGGCAUCUUAAAUCAUACUGCCAGACUCAUCUUUUUUUUAUCUGAUCUUUUCUCAACCUAGUAGUUCAAUGAGUUGUUUCGUUUUUAGGAAAUCUGAAGUCAUUAUGACAAUUGUUUUGUCCAACAUGGCCUCAGUUAAGAAAGAGUGAAAUGAUUUGGGCCAAUUCAUUCUUUCCAUAGCACCAUUAGGCUCACAGAGGAUUCACCGAGAGUAAAGGUGUGCUGAUAACAGGCUAGCUGAUACAUGGCUGGCCAGAUACUGUGUAAUUGCUUACAUAGAGGUACAGAUGUAGGUCAUUCUCUAGGCAAAUUAUAUGUGUAAAUAGGGUAUCUAUUGCAUCCUUGAAGGUGUUGCCAUUUUAGAGAUGUUUGUAACUGAAAGCAGAAAAAUUGAAUUUUACUUCUUGCAUCUGCCACGAUAAGUAGAAAUUGUCUCCCUAAGUAAAAU